UUCACAGGUGUUUCCAGAGUUUUCAGGGCUGAAAAAGGAGACUCACCAUGGAAUUUGGGCUUUGCUGGGUUCUCCUUGUUGCUAUUUUAAAAGGUGUCCAGUGUGAGGUGCAGCUGGUGGAGCCUGGGGGAGGCUUGGUCCAGCCUGGGGGGUCCCUGAGACUCUCCUGUGCAGCCUCUGGAUUCACCUUCAGUGACUACGCCAUGAGCUGGGUCCGCCAGGCUCCAGGGAAGGGGUUGGAGUGGGUGGCCAACAUAAGGUAUGAUGGAGGUGAAAAAUACUACGCAGACUCCGUGAAGGGCCGAUUCACCAUCUCCAGAGACAACGCCAAGAACUCGCUGUAUCUUCAGAUGAACAGCCUGAGAGCCGAGGACACGGCCCUGUAUUACUGUGCGAGAGACACAGUGAGGGGAAGUCAGUGUGAGCCUCGACACAAACCUCCUUCAAGGGCGCCUGGAACCAGCAGGAGACGCUCAGGAUACACAGAGGACAGGGGCUGCCCAGGGCAGGUGCAGGUGGAGGUCAAGGGCUGCUCUCCUCCGGGGCCUGUGGCUUCCUCUGAGCGUAAGGUUCCCCGAGGAGGGUCUGUGUAUUUACAGUUAUGUCCCUACUACUGA